rnacentral:rRNA from 1 species
UACGUAGGCAGCAAGCGUUGUUCGGAGUUACUGGGCGUAAAGAGUGCGUAGGCGGUCCUGUAAGUUUGGUGUGAAAUCUCCCGGCUCAACUGGGAGGGUGCGCCGAAGACUGCAAGGCUUGAGUAUGGGAGAGGCAAGCGGAAUUCCUGGUGUAGCGGUGAAAUGCGUAGAUAUCAGGAGGAACACCUGCGGCGAAGGCGGGUUGCUGGGCCGACACUGACGCUGAUGCGCGAAAGCCAGGGGAGCGAACGGG